GUAAAGGGGCAGCAACAGUUCUAGCGCAAUUUGACGCUUUUUUACAUGUAAAUCUCCAUAAGAAAUUUUAAGGUCCAUUCUGGUCAUUUUUGACGCUUUUUGUGGUGGAGGCGCGACUGCUCGUCAGAUCGUGACGUGUGAGGUAUCACCGGAAAGGGGAGGGGGUGACGAAUACGUUAACACAAAAAAAAAAAAACAAA
rnacentral:lncRNA from 1 species